GGGCCCGUCGUCCAAUGGCAGGACAGCAGUCUCCAAAACUGUUAAUGAGUGUUCGACUCACUCCGGGCCUG
rnacentral:tRNA from 1 species